CUACGGGCGGCUGCAGUGAGGAAUAUUGCACAAUGGAGGAAACUCUGAUGCAGCAACGCCGCGUGGAGGAUGACGCAUUUCGGUGUGUAAACUCCUUUUAUAUAUCAAGAAAAUGACGGUAGCAUAUGAAUAAGCUCCGGCUAACUCCGUGCCAGCAGCCGCGGUAAUACGGAGGGAGCAAGCGUUACUCGGAAUCACUGGGCGUAAAGGACGCGUAGGCGGGAUAGAAAGUCAGGUGUGAAAUCCUAUGGCUCAACCAUAGAACUGCACUUGAAACUUCUAACCUAGAGUAUGGGAGGGGAAGAUGGAAUUAGUGGUGUAGGGGCAAAAUCCGUAGAUAUCACUAGGAAUACCAAAAGCGAAGGCGAUCUUCUGGAACAAUACUGACGCUAAGGCGUGAAAGCGUGGGGAGCAAACAGGAUUAGAUACCCCGGUAGUC
rnacentral:rRNA from 1 species